GUGUCUCUUUGGCAGCACAUAUACUAAAAUUAGAGUGAUACAGAGAUUAUCAUGCCCCCUGCUCAAGGAUGACACAUAAAUAAGCUAUUUUU
rnacentral:snRNA from 1 species